AAGAUAAUGCAACCAACUUAUAUAGUAGAAUAUUCCAUUUAAAAAAAUAAUGCGCAGGAUUAGAGAUAAUGUUAUGUAUAACUGUGUAAGGUAGGUAUUAUGUACUUAAAAAUAUUUCAAAACGAAAAAAUGGAAAACUAACUGGGAAAUAUUGAGUGUUCUAUACAAGAAUAAUAUUUUGUACAUAUUGAAAAAAUAUGUUAUAUUA